rnacentral:tRNA from 1 species
GUAAAAUCAACCAAUCCGUCCGCUAUUCUCCCGCUCAUAACGGUCUGGUUGCAGGUUCGAGUCCUGCCGGGCCCACCA